GUAUAAGACGGUGGAGCGGGUGGUGCAGACUCUGAAGAACCUGUGCUGUGCUCUGGACGAGACGGAGACCCAGGCCAUCACUGAGGCCGUCAAAAGGCUGAAACACUCCGUCAACUUACCCCAGACACGCUCCCCCAAGAUGGGGUCCACAUCGUCUGGUCAAUCGUCAAAUGGAAAGUGGGCACGCGAUGACAGCUUCCUUGACACCAUC